AAGCUCGUAGUUGAAUUUCGGGGUUAGUAGGUUGGUCAUGCCUCUGGUAUGUACUGGUCUCACUGAUUCCUCCUUCCUUAUGAACCGUAAUGCCAUUAAUUUGGUGUUGCGGGGAAUUUGGACUGUUACUUUGAAAAAAUUAGAGUGCUUAAAGCAAGCUAACGCUUGAAUACAUUAGCAUGGAAUAAUGAAAUAGGACGUUCGAUCUUAUUUUGUUGGUUUCUAGGAUUGACGUAAUGAUUAAUAGGGAUAGUUGGG
rnacentral:rRNA from 1 species